rnacentral:lncRNA from 1 species
CUCAACUUUCCAGAGGCUGUGUAUUCUUUCAUGAUACUACAAUCUUUGGGUUCAGGUUGGGAGUCUGUUGCAACCCAGAUUGCUGUGCAACCAACUGCUCAGCUGACAGUGGACUUUGUUACUGCUGUGAUUUUAAAUGAAGCAGAUCGCCGGGGUGCUAGCUGCAUGGGCAAGGGAGAGUCUUCACAGACGUCAUCCCAUAGUGCAGUGGAACCACCAGAUGGCGCCAAAGCUUUGAAGGCAGUGAAAUGCUACUCGUGUGGAC